rnacentral:rRNA from 1 species
GACGAACGCUGGCGGCGUGCUUAACACAUGCAAGUCGAACGGAAAGGCUCCAGCUUGCUGGAGUACUCGAGUGGCCAACGGGUGAGUAACACGUGGGUGAUCUGCCCUGCACUUCGGGAUAAGCCUGGGAAACUGGGUCUAAUACCGGAUAGGACCGCACUCUGGUGUUUGUGGUGGACAGGUUUUUCUGGUUUGGGAUGAGCUCGCGGCCUAUCGGUUUGUUGGUGGGGUAAUCGCCUACCAAGACGUCGACGAGUAGCCGGACUGAGAGGGUGGACGGUCACAAUGGGACUGAGAGACGGCCCAGACGACUACGGGAGGAAGCAGUAGGGAAUAUUGUACAAUGGGGGAAACACGGAUGCAGAGACGACGCGUGGGGGAGGAAGGCCGUCGGGUUGUAGACUCCUUUCGCUAGGGACGAAGCUUGUUGUGACGGUACCUGGAGAAGAAGCACCGGCUAACUACGUG